rnacentral:rRNA from 1 species
UGGGGAAUAUUGGACAAUGGGCGCAGCCUGAUCCAGCCAUGCCGCGUGAGUGAUGAAGGCCUUAGGGUUGUAAAGCUCUUUCGACGGGGAAGAUAAUGACGGUACCCGUAGAAGAAGCCCCGGCUAACUUCGUGCCAGCAGCCGCGGUAAUACGAAGGGGGCUAGCGUUGCUCGGAUUUACUGGGCGUAAAGCGCACGUAGGCGGGUCGUUAAGUCGGGGGUGAAAUCCCGGAGCUCAACUCCGGAACUGCCUUCGAUACUGGCGAUCUCGAGUCCGGGGGAGGUGAGUGGAAUUCCGAGUGUAGAGGUGAAAUUCGUAGAUAUUCGGAAGAACACCAGUGGCGAAGGUGGCUCACUGGCCCGGUACUGACGCUGAGGUGCGAAAGCGUGGGGAGC